rnacentral:lncRNA from 1 species
AGCUGAAAGGAUGGGAAAGAAAAGACAGAGAGAAGAAGAAGAGGGUGAAAAGGAAGAAGUCAUAGAAGAGAAUGUGGCAAAGAAGGAGAAGGAAGAAAAUGAAGAACUACAUGACAAGAAGAGAUUAGCCAGCAAACCCCUCCUGGACACCCUUUGGGCAACGUUUAAAUUAAUCAGAUUCCCCACAAGAGGAGUUAUUUCCUCCCUGGCUUUUGAAUUCAGCGUGACAGAAACACAGAUAAAUCAAUGGUUUCGUCAGAAGAGGAAGCUAUACAAAAGAGAAAUAUACAAGAGAUGGAAGAGAUGUUGAAUAUGUUGGAUGCUGGUCUUUUCUUGGGGCCUUUUGGCCUCAGAUAUUGACAGAAGCUCAUGUGCCUGGAAGGAAAGAAGAUAAAAACGGCAUCAAUGUUUUAUCAGCCCUGGACUGUCUAGAGAAUUCUGAUGUAUUAUUUAUGUGUUUUUAUGUACAAAUCGUUUAUGUAGUACCUCAAUGGAUCAUCGCUCUAAACCAAAAAUGGGGAAACUGAAUUGCUGGCAAAUAAUGCGAUUUCAUCAACAAGCACCAGUUCCUAAAUGGCUAAGCCUGAAUUUGUACUUUCAUCUUUCAGACACAGAUGCUAUGUUUUCAGUUCUAACUUGAGAAAUAGUCUAGGUCAAUCUGUGUCUCAUAUGCAGUGUUUAUGAACUGCUAAUGAUCUCUCAUAAGCUUUCAAUGUGAGAGUUUUUCCAAGUACUUGUACCUUCUCCACCUCCUUGAAUUCUUGAUCUCUUGGAAGCUUUCAAAAAUGUUUUAGGAAGAUUCCUUCUUCUCUGGGGUCAAAGGCUUUCAAUUUAACAUGCUUGGAUCUAUGUUAAAUGCAUGGAAUGUGUUGGGAACUCUGAUCUGGCGUUUCUGUGGUUGUGGUGUGGGCGGGUAGCUACAGCUCUGAUUUGACCCCUAGCACGGGAACCUCCAAAUGCCAUGGGUGCGGCCCUAAAGGAAAAGACAAAAGAUCCCCCC